GAUGAACGCUGGCGGCGUGCCUAACACAUGCAAGUCGAGCGAAGGCGCUCUGGUCGUUUUAACGGAAAAAGGUAGCGGCGAACGGGUGAGAAAGAUGCAAAGAACCUGACUUAUUGAUGGGGGCUACCAUUGGGAACAAUAGCUAAUACCCGCUAACAGCAUAAACGGGAGGGCGGAAGGUCUAAAGCUGGUUUUGCUAACAAUAUGAGAUGGCCUUGUGUGGCAUUAGCUAGUUGGCGGGGGAAAGGCCUACCAAGUCGACGAUCCAUAGCCGAUCUGAUAGGAGGAUCAGCCAAACUGGGACUGAGAAACGGCCCAGACUCCUAAGGGAGGCAGCAGUCGGGAAUCUUAGGCAAUGGGCGAAAGCCUGACCGAGCAAUGCCGCGUGCGUGAAGAAGGCCUUCGGAUUGUAAAGCACUGUUGUUAGGGAAGAAAUGCUGUGGAGUAACUGCCCGCGGCAAUGACGGUACCGCACGAGUAAGCAACGGCUAACUACGUG
rnacentral:rRNA from 1 species